rnacentral:lncRNA from 1 species
CAAAGCUACUUUGGAAAAAGGAAUUGAGAAAGAAAGAAAAAAAAGAAAAACCCAGCCGAACCCCUCACCCCCUUUCCCCUCUCUCUUCGGCCGGGCGCGGCCCAGUUUCCCUUCCCCGGCCCAGCAAGCCAGCGCAGCACGCCCCCUCCUCCCCUAGCCCGCUAGCGCGGCCCACCAGGCGGCUAGGCCGGCCCGCGCGCGCACUCCCUCCCUCUCCCUCCUUUCUG